rnacentral:rRNA from 1 species
GACGAACGCUGGCGGCGUGCUUAACACAUGCAAGUCGAACGGUGAAGCGCUUUCCUUUUUGGUUGGUGUGGAUGAGUGGCGAACGGGUGAGUAACACGUGAGUAACCUGCCCCCUUCUUCUGGAUAACCGCAUGAAAGUGUGGCUAAUACGGGAUAUUCUGCGCCUGCUGCAUGGUGGGUGUGGGAAAGAUUGUGCCUUUGGGUGUUUUCGGUGGGGGAUGGGCUCGCGGCCUAUCAGCUUGUUGGUGGGGUGAUGGCCUACCAAGGCGGUGACGGGUAGCCGGCCUGAGAGGGUGGACGGUCACACUGGGACUGAGACACGGCCCAGACUCCUACGGGAGGCAGCAGUGGGGAAUAUUGCACAAUGGGCGCAAGCCUGAUGCAGCGACGCCGCGUGAGGGAUGGAGGCCUUCGGGUUGUGAACCUCUUUCGCAAGUGAAGCAGGCCUGCUCCGUGUGGGUGGGUUGACGGUAGCUGGAUAAGAAGCGCCGGCUAACUACGUG